rnacentral:rRNA from 1 species
CCCUAUGGGGCGCACUUUGGCCUAGCCAUGAUCAUCGUGGGCGUGGCCUUUUCCGGCCCCUACCAGGUCAGCAAGGAAGCCGAGCUCAAGCCCGGGGAGCGCAUCUCGCUCCAGGGCUACGACAUCAUUUACAAAGAUCUCCACGAGGAAAGCGGCGUGGCUAGGGCCUACAUCGAGGCGGCGCUCAUCGUGGAGAAAAACGGGAAACCCAUCGGCGAGCUGUCUCCGCAGCGGCGCAUGUACCGCAAAUUCCCGAACACCUUCGCUGAAGUGGCCACGCUCGCGCCCAACCUGGGCCUGGGCGACGAGAUAUACGCCACGCUGCUCGGCGCGGACGAGGAAAAAGGCGCCACGAUCAAGGUCAGCAUCCACCCGCUGGUGAAUUGGCGGGAGAGC